rnacentral:rRNA from 1 species
AUUGAACGCUGGCGGCAUGCCUUACACAUGCAAGUCGAACGGUAACGGGCCUUCGGGUGCCGACGAGUGGCGAACGGGUGAGUAAUGCAUCGGAACGUACCUUUCAGUGGGGGAUAACGUAGCGAAAGUUACGCUAAUACCGCAUAUUCUGUGAGCAGGAAAGCAGGGGAUCGCAAGACCUUGCGCUGAUUGAGCGGCCGAUGUCAGAUUAGCUAGUUGGUGAGGUAAAGGCUCACCAAGGCGACGAUCUGUAGCGGGUCUGAGAGGAUGAUCCGCCACACUGGAACUGAGACACGGUCCAGACUCCUACGGGAGGCAGCAGUGGGGAAUUUUGGACAAUGGGGGCAACCCUGAUCCAGCCAUGCCGCGUGAGUGAAGAAGGCCUUCGGUUGUAAGCUCUUUCGGCCGGGAAAAUACGCAUCAGUUAAUACCUGGUGUGGAUGAUGGUACCGGAAUAAGAAGACACCGGCUAACUACGUGCCAGCAGCCGAC